CUGAGUCUCCUGAAGGAACGUUGAAGACGACGACGUUGAUAGGUCGGGUGUGUAAGCGCAGCGAUGCGUUGAGCUAACCGAUACUAAUGAACCGUGAGGCUUAACCUU
rnacentral:rRNA from 2 species